rnacentral:pre_miRNA from 3 species
CGGGGCCGUGGCACUGUAUGAGAUUCAUGUAGGCUUUCUCACAGUGAACCGGUCUCUUU